rnacentral:rRNA from 1 species
UAAAGGGCACGUAGGCGGACAAAUAAGUUUGAUGUCAAAUAUGAUGGCUCAACCAUCAAGAGGCGUUGAAAACUGUUUAUCUAGAAUCUCGGAGAGGUAAGUGGAAUUCCAUGUGUAGCGGUGGAAUGCGUAGAUAUAUGGAGGAACACCAAUGGCGAAGGCAGCUUACUGGACGAAGAUUGACGCUGAGGUGCGAAAGCGUGGGUAGCAAACAGGAUUAGAUACCCUGGUAG